CGCGGCCUAUCAGCUUGUUGGUGAGGUAAUGGCUCGCCAAGGCGAGGACGGGUAGCCGGCCUGAGAGGGCGACCGGCCACACUGGGACUGAGACACGGCCCAGACUCCUACGGGAGGCAGCAGUGGGGAAUAUUGCACAAUGGGCGGAAGCCUGAUGCAGCGACGCCGCGUGAGGGAUGACGGCCUUCGGGUUGUAAACCUCUUUCAGCAGGGACGAAGCGUAAGUGACGGUACCUGCAGAAGAAGCGCCGGCCAACUACGUGCCAGCAGCCGCGGUAAGACGUAGGGCGCGAGCGUUGUCCGGAUUUAUUGGGCGUAAAGAGCUCGUAGGCGGCUUGUCGCGUCGAAUGUGAAAACUUGGGGCUCAACUCCAAGCUUGCAUUCGAUACGGGCAGGCUAGAGUUCGGUAGGGGAGACUGGAAUUCCUGGUGUAGCGGUGAAAUGCGCAGAUAUCAGGAGGAACACCGGUGGCGAAGGCGGGUCUCUGGGCCGAUACUGACGCUGAGGAGCGAAAGCGUGGGGAGCGAACAGGAUUAGAUACCCUGGUAGUCCACGCUGUAAACGUUGGGCGCUAGGUGUGGGGGGCCUCUCCGGUUCCCUGUGCCGCAGCUAACGCAUUAAGCGCCCCGCCUGGGAGUACGCGA
rnacentral:rRNA from 1 species